CCCUAGGUAUAAGUAGAGGGGAUUUGGCUGAAAACCCCCGGGGGAUCUCGUCGCACUGCGUUUCCCCAAAAUCGCCGACGCCCUUUCUUCCGCCACCCACACCAGCAGUGAUGGAGCUCUUCACCAGUGUUUGAGCCCCGACCAGGCGGUGCUUCACAAGGGCAGCUUCUUGGAGGUGUUACGAUUGAGCGAGGUGGUCUCCAGCCAUUAUCGACGGUACAAAACGGUCGGGCGAGGGUUUUCCGCCGGAGGAACGAGAAAGAGAAGACAAGUACCUUUCCUUAUGCAAUUGUGAGAUCUCUGAGGGUUUCCAUGAUGCACUCUGCGAGGUUCUAAUUCUAGAUUGUGAUGUUUCUUUCAAUUUUCCGUGUGAUGGUGAAUGAUCUUGCCUUCUGUUCGAGUUCUAGAGGAAUCGAGUCUUGGUUUCAUAUUCUUGAUGGAUUUGCCGGAUUUGAAUGUCCUAGUUCUUCACGGGAUGACUCGGACUCGAUUGGUUCUCGCCUUGAAGUUCUUGUUGCGGACCUUACCUUCACACGGUGGUUCGGUAUGGGAUCUCUGGACAGAUGAGUUCGGAAUUGAAAUGAGUGAUGACUGGUUUGCCGAUGGAUUCGAUCCUUGACAACUUGUUGGUGAUCUCGGUAUGUAGUGAAGGUGUUGUGUUCUCCUUGUUCUGAAAUCUCUGUUAUGUUCGUUGUGGAUGUACGCUUGGAUUGUGAUGCUCAAGCUCAUUUCAUGUCAUUUUCCACAAGUGCUGGACAAAGUCGGAUGCUGGUGUAUAUUAGGGACGAUUAGUCUCUAUGAGGAUCUGCGAUGUUUAGUUAGGAAUCAACUCUAUGAUGGUUUAUGGGUGCUUUUGGAUUUUAAAUCAGUUGGGGGAUUUAGCAGAUGAAUUUGGUAGUGUUUUUGUUUUCCGAAAUGUCGUGCACAAAUUUAGAGUUUGAUUGGAGUUGGUUUAUUUAUCAUUUUUGUUUCCGAUCUUGUGAACAGAGUGCGACUAGAAUAGAUUUGGUGAAUAUCUUUUGAAGCUG